GGGCGGUUAGCUCAGUUGGUUAGAGCGUUACAUUGACAUUGUAAAGGUCAGAGGUUCGACUCCUCUACCGCCCA
rnacentral:tRNA from 1 species